rnacentral:rRNA from 1 species
UACGAAGGGGGCUAGCGUUGCUCGGAAUUACUGGGCGUAAAGCGCACGUAGGCGGCUUUGUAAGUUAGAGGUGAAAGCCCAGGGCUUAACCCUGGAAUUGCCUUUAAGACUGCAUCGCUAGAAUCGUGGAGAGGUGAGUGGAAUUCCGAGUGUAGAGGUGAAAUUCGUAGAUAUUCGGAAGAACACCAGUGGCGAAGGCGACUCGCUGGACAAGUAUUGACGCUGAGGUGCGAAAGCGUGGGGAGCAAACAGG